AGUAGCUGGUUCCCUCCGAAGUUUCCCUCAGGAUAGCUGGUGCAUUAUAAUAUUAUGUUAAAUAAUCUUAUCUGGUAAAGCGAAUGAUUAGAGGCCUUAGGGUCGAAACGACCUUAACCUAUUCUCAAACUUUAAAUGGGUAAGAACCUCACCUUUCUUGAUAUGAAGGUUGAGGUUAUGAUAUAAUGUGCCCAGUGGGCCACUUUUGGUAAGCAGAACUGGCGCUGUGGGAUGAACCAAACGUAAUGUUACGGUGCCUAAAUUAACAACUCAUGCAGAUACCAUGAAAGGCGUUGGUUGCUUAAAACAGCAGGACGGUGGACAUGGAAGUCGUAAUCCGCUAAGGAGUGUGUAACAACUCACCUGCCGAAGCAACUAGCCCUUAAAAUGGAUGGCGCUUAAGUUGUAUACCUAUACAUUACCGCUAAAGUAGAUGAUUUAUAAUACAAUUUCGAUUGAAUUAUAAAUUUUGAAACUUUAGUGAGUAGGAGGGUACAAUGGUGUGCUUAGAAGUGUUUGGCGUAAGCCUGCAUGGAGCCGCUAUUGGUACAGAUCUUGGUGGUAGUAGCAAAUAAUCGAAUGAGACCUUGGAGGACUGAAGUGGAGAAGGGUUUCGUGUGAACAGUGGUUGAUCACGAGUUAGUCGGUCCUAAGUUCAAGGCGAAAGCCGAAAAUUUUCAAGUUUUAAUGC
rnacentral:rRNA from 4 species